AUGAACUCCUUGAGAGUUUUACUCGUGAUUCUAUGGCUUCAGUUAAACUGGGUGAGGAGCCAACAGGAGGUGGAGCAGACUCCCAAAUCCCUCACUGUUUCUGAAGGAGCCACUGCGUCUCUCAGCUGCACUUAUAGCAACACUGCUUUUCAGUAGUUCACGUGGUACAAACAGUAUUCUGGCAAAGGCCCUGAGUUGCUGAUGUUCAUAUACUCUGCUGGUGACAAAGAAGAAGGAAGGUUUACAGCACAGCUCAAUAAAGCCAGCCGAAAUGUUUCCCUACUCAUCAGAGACUCCCAGCUCAGUGACUCAGCCACCUACCUCUGUGCAGUCAGCACACAGUGCUCCCCAGGCACCUGCAGCCUGCACCCAAACCUGCUGGGGCCUCAGGAACUCCUGAUACAGACAGAGCUUAGACUGCAGGGCGGAGAAGUUCUGUUUGCUCUCUAG